rnacentral:rRNA from 1 species
CAGUCGCCGCGGUAAUACGAAGGGGGCUAGCGUUGCUCGGAAUGACUGGGCGUAAAGGGCGCGUAGGCGGUUUAUACAGUCAGAUGUGAAAUUCCUGGGCUCAACCUGGGGACUGCAUUUGAUACGUAUGGACUUGAGUGGAGAAGAGGGUCGUGGAAUUUCCAGUGUAGAGGUGAAAUUCGUAGAUAUUGGAAAGAACACCGGUGGCGAAGGCGGCGACCUGGUCUUUAACUGACGCUGAGGCGCGAAAGCGUGGGGAGCAAACAGGGUUAGAUACCCCUGUAGUCCCUGUCUCUUAUAC